UACGUAGGCAGCGAGCGUUGUUCGGAGUUACUGGGCGUAAAGCGUGCGUAGGCGGUGGCCCAAGUCUGGUGUGAAAUCUCCCGGCUCAACUGGGAGGGUGCGCCGGAAACUGGGCCGCUGGAGUAUGGGAGAGGCAAGCGGAAUUCCAGGUGUAGCGGUGAAAUGCGUAGAUAUCUGGAGGAACACCCGUGGUGCAGACGGCUUGCUGGACCAUGACUGACGCUGAGGCACGAAAGCGUGGGUAGCAAACAGG
rnacentral:rRNA from 1 species